rnacentral:misc_RNA from 1 species
UCCAGCUUAUCGCUGGCGGUCUCCCGCGAGUGCCCCCUUGCGGGCUGGCAACACGGGACAAGGGUUGCGCUCGUUGCGGGACUUAACCCAACAUCUCACGACACGAGCUGACGACAGCCAUGCAGCACCUCGGCUCCACCCCCUUGCGGGGUAGCAGGGUUUCCCCUGCCGUUGAGAAGCCGUUCGAGCCCAGGUAAGGUUCUUCGCGUUGCGUCGAAUUGAACCACAUGCUCCACCGCUUGUGCGGGCCCCCGUCAAUUCCUUUGAGUUUCAGCCUUGCGACUGUACUCCCCAGGCGGCGUACUUAACGCGUUAGCUCCGGCACGGACCGACUGAACGGCCCACACCAAGUACGCAUCGUUUAGGGCGUGGACUAC